ACUCAAAGGAAUUGACGGGGGCUCACACAAGCGGUGGAGUAUGUGGCUUAAUUCGAGGCUACGCGCAAAACCUUAUCCCGGGCUUGACAUGCACGGAUUAGCCGGCGGAAACGUCGGCGAGGCCGCAAGGUACAACGUGCACAGGUGCUGCAUGGCUGUCGUCAGCUCGUGCCGUGAGGUGUUGGGUUAAGUCCCGUAACGAGCGAAACCCCUGCCCUUAGUUGCCAGCACGUCAUGGUGGGGACUCUAGGGGGACCGCCGGCGUUAAGCCGGAGGAAGGCGGGGAUGACGUCAAGUCCUCAUGGCCCUUAUGCCCGGGGCUGCACACGUACUACAAUGGGCCGGACAGAGCGACGCCAACCUGCAAAGGCGAGCCAAUCGCAGAAACCGGCCCCCAGUUCGGAUUGCGGGCUGCAACCCGCCCGCAUGAAGCCGGAAUCGCUAGUAAUCGCGGAUCAGCAUGCCGCGGUGAAUGGGUUCCUGAGCCUUGUACACACCGCCCGU
rnacentral:rRNA from 1 species